AUCUUUGCGCUUGGGGGAAUGACGCAGUUAGUGAGGUGAAACCGAGCGUCAAUUGCUGGUUGAAAACUGUAUUUAAAGAUAAUUAAAUUAAACAUCAAACUUUCUUCCUCUCUUAUGUGU
rnacentral:snRNA from 1 species